rnacentral:rRNA from 1 species
UACGAAGGGGGCUAGCGUUGCUCGGAAUCACUGGGCGUAAAGGGUGCGUAGGCGGGUCUUUAAGUCAGGGGUGAAAUCCUGGAGCUCAACUCCAGAACUGCCUUUGAUACUGAAGAUCUUGAGUUCGGGAGAGGUGAGUGGAACUGCGAGUGUAGAGGUGAAAUUCGUAGAUAUUCGCAAGAACACCAGUGGCGAAGGCGGGUCUCUGGACAGUUCCUGACGCUGAGGCACGAAGGCCAGGGGAGCAACGGGG